rnacentral:rRNA from 1 species
GACGCUGGCGGCAGGCCUAACACAUGCAAGUCGAGCGGUAGAGAGAAGCUUGCUUCUCUUGAGAGCGGCGGACGGGUGAGUAAUGCCUAGGAAUCUGCCUGGUAGUGGGGGAUAACGUUCGGAAACGGACGCUAAUACCGCAUACGUCCUACGGGAGAAAGCAGGGGACCUUCGGGCCUUGCGCUAUCAGAUGAGCCUAGGUCGGAUUAGCUAGUUGGUGAGGUAAUGGCUCACCAAGGCGACGAUCCGUAACUGGUCUGAGAGGAUGAUCAGUCACACUGGAACUGAGACACGGUCCAGACUCCUACGGGAGGCAGCAGUGGGGAAUAUUGGACAAUGGGCGAAAGCCUGAUCCAGCCAUGCCGCGUGUGUGAAGAAGGUCUUCGGAUUGUAAAGCACUUUAAGUUGGGAGGAAGGGUUGUAGAUUAAUACUCUGCAAUUUUGACGUUACCGACAGAAUAAGCACCGGCUAACUCUGUGCCAGCAGCCGCGGUAAUACAGAGGGUGCAAGCGUUAAUCGGAAUUACUGGGCGUAAAGCGCGCGUAGGUGGUUUGUUAAGUUGGAUGUGAAAUCCCCGGGCUCAACCUGGGAACUGCAUUCAAAACUGACUGACUAGAGUAUGGUAGAGGGUGGUGGAAUUUCCUGUGUAGCGGUGAAAUGCGUAGAUAUAGGAAGGAACACCAGUGGCGAAGGCGACCACCUGGACUAAUACUGACACUGAGGUGCGAAAGCGUGGGGAGCAAACAGGAUUAGAUACCCUGGUAGUCCACGCCGUAAACGAUGUCAACUAGCCGUUGGAAGCCUUGAGCUUUUAGUGGCGCAGCUAACGC